rnacentral:rRNA from 1 species
GGCCGUUCUUAGUUGGUGGAGUGAUUUGUCUGGUUAAUUCCGAUAACGAACGAGACCGUAGCCUGCUAAAUAGUCCCGCGAACUUCUUGUUGGCGGCCGACUUCUUAGAGGGACAACUUGUGACCAACAAGUGGAAGUUUGCGGCAGUAACAGGUCUGUGAUGCCCUUAGAUGUUCUGGGCCGCACGCGCGCUACACUGAAGCACUCAACGAGUCCACCUCGACCGACAGGUCUGGGAAACCUUUUGAAAUUGCUUCGUGAUGGGGAUAGAUUAUUGCAACUAUUAAUCUUCAACGAGGAAUUCCUAGUAAGGGCAUGUCAUCAGCGUGCGUUGAUUACGUCCCUGCCCUUUGUACACACCGCCCGUCGCUCCUACCGAUUGAAUGAUCCGGUGAGGCCCCCGGACUGGGGCGACGCAUUCGGUUCGCCGGACGCGACGCUCCGGGAAGCUGUCCAAACCUUAUUAUUUAGAGGAAGGAGAAGUCGUAACAAGGUUUCCGUAGGUGAACCUGCAGAAGGAUCAA